rnacentral:tRNA from 1 species
AGGGAUUUAACUCAGAUGGUUAGAGUAUCUCGCUGAUACCGAGAAAGUCCCAGGUUCGAAUCCUGGAAUCCCUA